rnacentral:tRNA from 1 species
GGAUGUAGCGCAGCUGGUAGCGCAUCUGGUUUGGGACCAGGGUGUCGCAGGUUCAAAUCCUGUCAUCC